rnacentral:rRNA from 1 species
UCCAUAGGUUAAUGAGGCGAACCGGGGGAACUGAAACAUCUAAGUACCCCGAGGAAAAGAAAUCAACCGAGAUUCCCCCAGUAGCGGCGAGCGAACGGGGAGCAGCCCAGAGCCUGAAUCAGUAUGUGUGUUAGUGGAAGCGUCUGGAAAGGCGCGCGAUACAGGGUGACAGCCCCGUACACAAAAAUGCACAUGCUGUGAGCUCGAUGAGUAGGGCGGGACACGUGGUAUCCUGUCUGAAUAUGGGGGGACCAUCCUCCAAGGCUAAAUACUCCUGACUGACCGAUAGUGAACCAGUACCGUGAGGGAAAGGCGAAAAGAACCCCGGCGAGGGGAGUGAAAAAGAACCUGAAACCGUGUACGUACAAGCAGUGGGAGCACGCUUAGGCGUGUGACUGCGUACCUUUUGUAUAAUGGGUCAGCGACUUAUAUUCUGUAGCAAGGUUAACCGAAUAGGGGAGCCGAAGGGAAACCGAGUCUUAACUGGGCGUUAAGUUGCAGGGUAUAGACCCGAAACCCGGUGAUCUAGCCAUGGGCAGGUUGAAGGUUGGGUAACACUAACUGGAGGACCGAACCGACUAAUGUUGAAAAAUUAGCGGAUGACUUGUGGCUGGGGGUGAAAGGCCAAUCAAACCGGGAGAUAGCUGGUUCUCCCCGAAAGCUAUUUAGGUAGCGCCUCGUGAAUUCAUCUCCGGGGGUAGAGCACUGUUUCGGCAAGGGGGUCAUCCCGACUUACCAACCCGAUGCAAACUGCGAAUACCGGAGAAUGUUAUCACGGGAGACACACGGCGGGUGCUAACGUCCGUCGUGAAGAGGGAAACAACCCAGACCGCCAGCUAAGGUCCCAAAGUCAUGGUUAAGUGGGAAACGAUGUGGGAAGGCCCAGACAGCCAGGAUGUUGGCUUAGAAGCAGCCAUCAUUUAAAGAAAGCGUAAUAGCUCACUGGUCGAGUCGGCCUGCGCGGAAGAUGUAACGGGGCUAAACCAUGCAC